rnacentral:lncRNA from 1 species
AUCAUAUUUGGAUUUUGUUUUUGUGUCUUGUCUGUUUCUAGUUGAGACACAAACACGCACGGCAUUUUUUUAUUAAUUCUGAAACAAAAAAACCUGCACCCAAAGACCCCAAUUACAAAUCAUGGGUCACCGAAAAUCAGAAAAUAAAGAGUUGGUUUAUUAACUCAAUGAGUUCAUCCCUUAUGCAAUAAUUUACUCGCCUUCCCACAACCAAGGAAAUAUGGAAAGCUGUAUCAAGGACUUUUUUACGAUGAAUCAGAUAAAACUCGUCUAUUUGAGUUAAACCAAAAGACCUUUUUCUACCACAU